AUGUGACUCGUGGACUUCCCUUUGUCAUCCUAUGCCUGAGAAUAUAUGAAGGGGGCUGGGAAGGCAAAGGGACGUUCAAUCGUCAUCACU
rnacentral:pre_miRNA from 1 species